UGAAGUUAUCAAUUUAAUUUUUUAUUGAAAAAAUAUGGUGUCUCCAUAAAAAAAGCCAAUGUGGCUGAAUUUGGUUACUGAACCGGCUAAACAUGGCUCGAAUUAUGUCGAAUUACUUUGAGAUAUACCAGUAGGUAUAUUAUUCACAAUUCAUGAAAUCUCGACGUUAAUAAAACGAUAUUCUUCAGAAUUUCAUUUACUUCAUAUUUGUUUCAAAGGAAUGCAAGUCCUUGCAUUCUGUUAUAAAAUUUGAAUUUUUGACUACAAUCUACAAUUUUGAGAGCGAAUAUCGCCGUUUGAUAUAAAAGUGACCUCGUCGUGCAAGGCAAAAGUUAAAUAUCUUCCUUUUGUUUUCAUCAUUGAGAGGAAUUAACAAUUUGAGUUUGUAAAAAGAUUUCACUCAAUUUUUAUGAAGAAUGUUUUCUUAAGUUCUCCACGAAGCCUAUCUAAUUUUAGUAACAUUUCACAGGACCAAAAACAAAUUAAUUUUGUAAGACGUGUGACAAAAUUUCAAUAACAUUGGAUAUUGUACACAACCUCAUAUGAAAAUGUGUCUAGAAUAAAGUACUGUUAAAAAUGA